ACAAUGUCGAUUCACGUCGGUCACGUGAUCAAGAUCUGUCAUUCCCAUAAUUUUUUCUAGUUUUCGAAGCGUUUGCGAUCGUAGACAGAGAAUCGACGUGCUACUUGGCUACAUGGGCUGCUCAGCUUACUGCAUCUAACUCUAAUCCGAGACAAUUAAAUAGAAAACUCGUUACGUACGUAUUGGCAGACGUUACUUACUUGUGACGUCUACGAGUACGUGUUCUUGUUCCUACGUUCGUACGUUGUACGUAUGUUAUUGUACGUACCUUCGUUUGUACGUCACACGAUUUCUUUGAUUUUUGACAAGGAGACGAGGGUCAUUUAUGUGACAAUUUUGCAUCCACUAAACAAUACGUCAGAGAUUUCCCGGGUUCGGUUGCAUUUCAAGGAAAUGUAGUGUAAGAGUCUCAAGUGUCCAAGCUACCUUAAACCGAGCAUGAGCGUUCAUCUUUCAGUUGAGAUUAUGUGGUGCGUAAAGUAUGUGUGCAUUUGCUGUAGAGUGGAAAGCAAGUAGUUUUAAUAUGUAGGGUAGUUAUUGUUUGUUGUAUGUUGAAGAGGAUUUUAUUCGUAGAUGUGCCGAUUACACUGUCAUGUAUGGGUUUUAGUUUUACGGUUGAACUCAUCUGUAAACGCUACUGUAUUGUGGUCAAAAUACAUUGGAUACUUUAUAGUAUGUAACUCCUCCAAACACCAUACAUUUAGAAAUAAUUGCAAAGAGUCUAAAGGCCGUGACAUUCAAAAUCAUCGACCAAUUAAUGGUUGAAUACAGGCAUUGUAUAAAAAAUGAGGAUCUGUAGCUUAAGCCCACAAUGCUACCCAGUGGGUUUCGUGAUUAUUUUAAAUUUGGAACAUCUACGUUUGAAUUCCCAUUCGGUUAAGAUUCAAUAUUGUAAUAUUUAUAUAUUUUUUUGUAUAGACCACGUUUCGGCGAUUUUGGAAUUGUUUUUCGUUCUUUUUUUAUUAUGUAACUUGUUAUAAUAAUAUAUCUUACAAUUUAAAUACAUUUUUGUAUAUUGAGGACAUGAUAAUAAUUAAUAUUAUAAUGAUUGUUUGUAUGUAUAGUUUAAGAAUAAAAUGUAUGUUUUCUUUU
rnacentral:lncRNA from 1 species